UACGUAGGGUGCAAGCGUUAAUCGGAAUUACUGGGCGUAAAGCGUGCGCAGGCGGUUGUGCAAGACCGAUGUGAAGUCCCCGGGCUUAACCUGGGAAUGGCAUUGGUGACUGCACGGCUAGAGUGUGUCAGAGGGGGGUAGAAUUCCACGUGUAGCAGUGAAAUGCGUAGAGAUGUGGAGGAAUACCGAUGGCGAAGGCAGCCCCCUGGGUCAAGACUGACGCUCAUGCACGAAAGCGUGGGGAGCAAACAGG
rnacentral:rRNA from 1 species